CUCUCGGUAGCUCAGUUGGUUUCAGCGCAACCUAGAGCAUUUGACUGUAGUGAAUGCAUUCACCAAAAUGUCCCUAGUUCGAUUCUAGGUCGGGAGA